rnacentral:lncRNA from 1 species
AAAAUGGUAGCAAAGAAAGGGUUUAGAAGCUGGAAACUUUCAGCAAAGAAACUCCCUUUAUAGUAAGUGAUUUUAAUGUCUUUGCUUGAUGAUUUUUACAUUUUUGGAACCCCUAAAGCAUGAGCUUUCAUAAGAGGGGAUUAUUUUGCAAAAUGAUGAAGAGUCUAGGGUUUUACCAUGAGAGUAAAUGUGUUGUUUUCUGUCUUUUUAUGGAAGAUUAUGAGUCCUAGUUGUCUAAUAAACAACUUUUGUGAAAGAAAUUGCAUGAAAAUACCUUAAAAAGGGCUAAAUUGCUAAGUUGUAAAAUGAGUUGUAAAUGUGUAAAAUAGUUGAAAUUAUGAGUUGCUGUAGUUAUGAAAAUCGUUCAUCUAGACUCAAGGAAUAAAUAAAUGUGAUAAAAAUUAAUUUACGAGCAUUGGGGCAAAAGUGAAAAUAUGCAAAAGUUUAAGGGUCAAAAUGAAAAUUUUUAAAAAUAUGAUUUUUAGACCCAUAUGAAUAUUGUGACUGAUUUUUAGGCUAAAUUGAUGUUAUAGAUGAUGAAAAUUGAGAUUUGGACCUAGAACGGAAAGAAAUCGAUUUAUGGACGAGUAUGUCUUUUCACCUUUGUGGUAUCGAGGUAAGUUCGUAUGUAAACAAUACCAUGCUAUACAUGUAUUUAAAUGUUAUCAUUACAUGAAUUGUACAGAUAUUAAUGUGUAUGUGAUUAAUAGAAAUAUGAUAAGACAAAGCCUUAAUAGGCAAGGAAAAAUCCCAUUUGAACCUUAGGAAUAAAUUAGGAUACGAGUGACAUGUCACUAGGAAUUAUGAGUCUAGAUGACUGGCUCGAUAGUGAGCAUUGAAAUGUCAUGAGAAAUGAGAUAGCUUUAGCUACAAUUGAGGCACUUAUGUGCAAAGGCUUUUCCGAGUAUCCAAUUAGUAUUCCAAGUGUUCAACGGGCAAUCCAAGGAAAGAGUUGAUGAUGGUCCCAAUAAGGUAAGUCAUUGGUGAGUAUGCACUCGAGUUAUGUUACGAGUUGUGCAAGUAUGUAUACUAAGCCUAUGAGAAUGCUUUGAUAUGUGAUGAUCUAUGAUGCAUAAUAUGUGUUCUUACCAUGAUGGAUAAAAUGGUGUUGUAUUAAUAUUAUGAACAAUGACCAUGAAUGAGUAACUUAGCCUUGACAGAUUUGAGUUACUGCAGUAGUGUAACUUUGAAAAUACACUAAAAAUAGUGGAAAAUGAAUUAGAGGCAGAAUAAAAUAUGGGAUUAAAUCUUAAUGAGUCUAUUUUCACAUGAAAUAGAGGAAGAAAAAGAAUUCUAUAUUGUGUGAUAUUUAAAUUCUCAUGAAAUAGGGUCUGAAUGAAUUCGAGAUCCCCUGUUCUGAUUUUAUAAAUUCACCGUAAAUCGUAAAAAAAUUAUUAAGAGUAAUACCUUACAUGCAUGGAUUCCUUAUUGAGUCUACCUUUAAGGAAAACAAACGGCAUGAUUAUUGGAAUUAUGUACAGGGAGAAAUUCGGUUCGAAGUGCAUAGGGUCAGAGUAGUCAUACCCUGAAACAGGGGAAACUUUAACUAAUAAACUGUACUAAAUGGUUUGACCAAAAAUUCUAGAAAAAAAUUAGUAAGUAUACAUAUGAGUCUAGUUUCAAGAGAAAUAGACGAGAACAUUAUUCGAGUCCUGUACUAUGAGAUAAUUGAACUUUAGUGCAGAAGGGUUGAAACUGUCAGACAGUGAAUCAGGAGCAAACUUGAGGAAUAAACUGUACUAAUUGGCUAAGUCAAAAAUUCUGGAAAUUUUAUGGAAGAAAGAUAAAUGAUUCUAGUUUCAGGGAAAAUUAAUGGAACUUAAUUUUGAGUUUCGUAGCUCCAGAUAUAAAUAAUUUAGUGACUGCUGCUCAGGAAGACAGCUUGUAGUGAACUUGAGAAUAUGUUGUAAACAUUGAUAAAACAAGUUAAUGAGUUGCUUAUUGUUUUCAUAUGAACUUACUAAGCGAAAGCUUACCCUCUUCUUUCCCAUGUUUUCUAGAGUUUCUAGGUUAGCUCGGGUUGGAGGCCGUCAGAGAUAUUAUCACACUGUCGAGUUAACGCUAUCGGCGUAAGUAAACUCAAGUGAUUCUAGUCUAUGGCAUGUAUAGGGUUUUAAUGUGAGUAUGUAAUAUUAUGAUUUAGCCAAAGGCAUUGGCUUGUUAUUAAGGUAGUAUUAGUCAUGUAAAUUGGCCUAUGUCGGCUAAUAUCGUUAUGGGCCCAUAUGAUUAUUCUUAUGCAUGUAUGUUAUUAUCUCUUGUGAUGUGGCUUACAACAUGUAUGCCUAGAGAUUGAAUUGAGAUUCAUUGAUGAGCUAAUAACUAAUGCAGGAUUAAGUGAUUGGUAAAUAGUUAAUAAUGCUUCAUGAAUGGUUUGUGGAUAUGAUUAUGCAUGCUUUGUGAUGGACAUGAGGUUUGAUGACAUGUUGAUAGCUAUAGCAUUAAUAUGGUAAAGAUGAAAGAAAAACUUAUUGUAAUGGUUGCAU